rnacentral:rRNA from 1 species
GACGAACGCNGGCGGCGUGCUUAACACAUGCAAGUCGAACGGAGCGAAUGAAAGCUUGCUUUUAUGAGCUUAGUGGCAAACGGGUGAGUAACACGUAGACAACCUGCCGACAGGAUGGGGACAACAUUCCGAAAGGAAUGCUAAUACCGAAUGAAGCGGAGGAGAGGCAUCUCUCUUCCGUGAAAGAUGGCCUCUUUUUAUGCUAUCACCUGUUGAUGGGUCUGCGUCUGAUUAGCUGGUAGGUGAGGUAACGGCUCACCUAGGCGACGAUCAGUAGCCGGUCUGAGAGGAUGAACGGCCACAUUGGGACUGAGACACGGCCCAGACUCCUACGGGAGGCAGCAGUGGGGAAUCUUCCGCAAUGGGCGCAAGCCUGACGGAGCAACGCCGCGUGAGUGAAGAAGGUCUUCGGAUCGUAAAGCUCNGUUGACGGGGACGAACGUGCGUGAUGCGAACAGUGUCAUGCAANGA